rnacentral:lncRNA from 1 species
CACCCCACCCUGGGUAGUUGCUGUUUUUCUAAUUUGGAUAGUUUCUUUAAAUUCUACUCAUUCACAUUGUCCUUCCAGCACUAUACUUAGGUAAUGAGAGGGAGAGCAGAUGGCCAAGCAAAAAUACAAGCCACAUGAGAAUCUCUGUUCAGGAAUCUCUCCUGACUGCCAUAUUGAACUUACUCUUUUUAUAUUGCCAUUGAGGCAGUCGUGGCAGUGGUGGGUUUUCCUUUUUUUCCUGGAUCAGAGAGACAUUGUGAGGAAAAGAUACUGCUUUUAGUUUUACUAUUCUUCCUUUACUUUUAGGUCCCAUCUAAACUUACUUUAGAAGUAAUGAGGUUUUUACAGAAACACAAUCUUAUUUAGACAAAUAAAUGUAGUUUUGUCUUCUUCCUAAAGAACACAGAAAUAAAAGACAAAAUACGCAUUGAUUUCAUAAUGCUUUCACAGUUGGAUAACACUGAUGUUUCUAAAGCUCAUGUAUUGAUGGCACUCUAUCACUAUGGGUUUUACUGGCAGGUGCUUUUUACCAAUAUCCCCUCACUACACUUCUCUCAACCUACUCAAAAAAUGCCCAUUGAGGUGUCCUUAUGAAAGUCGUGUUGUAGGCAGAGGCUGGUAAGCUGUGAUGCUAUUAGUGUGAGCUUCUUUGAAUCUUUACCAGGAAGGGCGAAACUCCCAAGGUAAAAAAGAAUUCUGUUUUUAUGAUCACUCCUGCUGGAUUGUGCUAUAUUAUAUUUGGUAUGACUGGAAUGGUGCUAGGCAGUAACCACCCACUCUACCUCUAAUACAGAGUAAGAGAAGGACAAACAAGAAAUUAUUGUUACUUAUGGGAAAAAAAGACCCAUAGGCUUUAUAUUGUAGACUUAACGUAUACAUGGAAUUGUAGCAUUUCUGAAUAACAUCAAGUAGCUAAUGGAUUUAUGUUCUUACCCAACUGGUCAGAAAGACAAUGCAAUUCAAAAUAUAAAAGAAAUGAUGGAGUUCCCGUUGUGGCUCAGUGGUUAACGAAUCCGACUAGGAAUCAUGAGGUUAUCGGUUCGAUCUCUGGCCUUGCUCAAUGGGUUAAGGAUCCGGCAUUGCUGUGAGCUGUGGUGUAGGUCACAGAUGUGACUCGGAUCCCACAUUGCUGUGGUUCUGGCAUAGGUCAGUGGCUACAGCUCUGAUUAGACCCCUAGCCUGGGAACCUCCAUCUGCCACAGGAGCAACCCUAGAAAAGACAAAAAAAUAAAAAAUAAAAGAAAUGAUAGCAGGAAAAGUGAUGAAUGAAGAGGAAACAGGAGGGGACAGAGAGAGAGAAGAAUUAUCGGGAUUGUCAAAGCUUAUUUGAUUGGAUGAUGAUAAUCUAAGAGUACAAACUUAUGCAAAAUUUACAUUCUGGAAUCAUAAAUUAGUCUUAAGCUUCAUCCAGGGAAGUAACACAUUAAUUUAUCAAACAAUGAAUUUUUUAGAAGGACAUUGGCAACAUUGUUUCCUCUUAGUAUUUCACGUUAAAGGUAUUCCUUCAUUUUGUUGGAAUGAAUCUUUAGAUAUUCAGUUCCUUGUAGGAUGUUAAGCAACAUCUCUGAUCUCUACUCACUAGAUAUCAGGGGCAACCCCCUGGUUAUGACAACCAAAGAUGUCUCCAGACAUUGCUAAAUAUCCUCUGAGGACAAAAUCACCCUGACUGAUAAUCACCACUCUAAACAAAUUCCUACCAGCUAAAGGGAUAGAAGAACCUGAAAAUAGGUAGCUAGCCUCAUAGCAAAAUUUAUUGGAUUAAUUUAGAAGCAUUUUAUGACUAUUUAAUACUAUAAUAUCAAUAACUUUGAUGUGUGUGUUCCUAAAUACUUAGUAUUAGCAAUAGUGAACAGUUACAUAAGCUCAUGCAGAAUUUUUGGAACAUAAGCAAAAUACAACUAUUUUUUGGCUGUCGGUAUCCCUUUAAAUUGUAUUUAGUCAGCGAAUGGUCUUUCCUAAUCACUAGAGAAGUUCUAUCAGGUCAAUUUCCCCUCCCCUGAAUGCAGGGCAUUCACUGGUAAUAAAAAUCCUCUGAUUGCUUUAAGUCACAAACCCAGUCUCAAUUUAGAAAAUAUUAUACUCGUCUUCUGGAAUAAUCCUGAUUCCUAACUUGAUCUGUCACUAAAUCUCUCCUCCAGGCCAGGGCCUGCUUGGGGCAGUAGAAGAGGGCAGGGUGGUCUGGGCUUCUCUUUGAAUCUCCCCUGCCAUCCAUUUUUCCUCCUCCCCCAACAUUCUGUUACUUCUAACCUCUUAAAGGUCAGGCUGAAGGGUUGAGAGAUCAUGGGGGAAGAGUAUGACUAGUCACAUGUGGCAGGUGCCAUUGUCUCCCGGCUUGGAGAUGCUCUGGUGGGGAGAUGUUUAAUGCUGACUUUCAUUUUAUGAGCACUUUUCAGAGUUCUUCCUUCCCUGCAUGGUCCCUCUAUUUUGUGUCAGGGAUGUUGCAUCUCUUAUUCCUCUGACUUCCCUUCACCGCCUGGUUUUCCAGUGUCCACUCCCCCUAAAUGUUCAUCCUUGGAGUUGGUUGUCCUGCCAGGUCUUCUACAGGAACCUCUGAGGCCACAGGUGGGCCUUCUCCAUUUGUCCCACAUCUGGUGCAUGUAAUAUUUAUGCCCUCUGCCCUGGGAAUCUUGAGCACAGACUCAAACCCUAGGCCUCUUUACCUCUGGAAGGCAAUGUAAUUACUACACAGUCACAGUCACAGGCAUCAGUGUUCUGAGUCUUUCAAAGAAAGCCCCUUAUUUAAUUUCUCACUAGGCUUGGGGCAGACCACUGAACCCAGAUCCCUGAAUAAGUAUGACAGCAGUUCAGUAGCUCUUUUAAAAACUAACCAUAAAAUAAUCUCUCUUUAUUUUGAACUCUUGACUCUGUAUUGAAUCCCAAAUAGAAGGUGAGUCUCUGAGCAUCAGCUAAUUGGGUCCUGGAUAACCACUUUAAAGUUUUUUCAUACGGGGUUGUUUCACCUUCAGUUUGGUUUUUGACAUUGGUAAAUAUUGGUGCCAAUGUCAUACUGUUACUUGAUCCUCUGAUGUAGCUAUAUAAGAAAGUUUUUGUUUUAUCCUAAUUAUUAAACUAAAAUAUGGACCUUUAGCUUCCUAAGAAUAAUGUACUAAACACUAAUUAUCCAUGAUUUUCUAAAGUCCACUUAAACCUGUCUGGACCUCUAUAUAAUCACCUACAAAAUGAUUGAAUUGCACUAGAUGAUUUUUAUGUUCAUAUAAAAUUUAAAAUUCUGAGAUUCUAUAUUCUAUAAUUCUCAGAACAAACCUGUACGGAAAAGAAAUCUGACUUGAUAUUUCUUGGUUUUCAUUAAUUCGGAGGAAAAUUGUAUUUUCUUACUAUUAGGCCAAUUUAGGAAUUUUAAAGCAUGGAAAAAUAGUUUAAUCAACAAUAAAUAUUUACUGAGUACUUAUCAUAGACCAAGAACUGUGCUAUUAGAGUACGUAAAUGUCAGUGUAUAGCUUAAUUUACUAUUUCUUUCAAUCUUUUUCUCCAUAUUAAAAAAAAUCAAUCAGCCUCUACAAGAGGAUAAAUUAAACUGCCCUUAAAGCACCUUGUAAUGGAUAGGAGACAUCUCCUAUGAAAGUAAAGUGAUCAUUUUGCCAAAAGGCUCUGUAAAUCUUUAGGACAUACAUAGAGUUGUGGUCUUUAUUAACUAGAACUGUCACUGAAAGUUGCUAAUUCUUUAACUGUGUUGCUAAUUCUUUCUUUACACUUAAAACAGUCUCCUUAAGAACUUAUAACAAUUAUUCCCCAAUUUAAACAAUAUUUCUAGGAAAUCUUUUCCCAAUUUCCCCAAUUUUAACAUUCCAAGGUAUGUAUUGCCAUGAUGCAUGGAAGGAGAACCAAAUAAUGAAACUAAUGUUUUGAAUGGAAUUACUCAGCGUUCAGUGAAAAAGUAUCUCAUCUCCUAUUCCAUCCCAGGGAAUAUGACUGACCAUGAUAGCUGAUCUUUCAAAAUAGUUGUGUACCAAUUAAAUUCACCUCUACUUUCUCCAGAUGCAAAAUAGCAUUUUCCCAUUUUAUUGAAUUUGAAAAUUCUUGACUUGUCACUGAAAGAUAUACUCUUGGGGAGAUUCUAGAGAACCCGAACUGUCUAUGGGGGAUAAAAAUAAGGGAAGUUUUCCAUGUCUACAAUUUCAAUUUUAGAGGAAGGAGGGAGAAGAUAAUGGAGUAGUAGGACAUGAAGCUCACCUACUCCCACAAAUACAUCAAAAAUACAUCUGUAUUGUGGAAUGAUUC